UUCUGGAGGAUUUUGUAUUCUGCCUCCACGUACAAGCAUUGCACAGUCCGUCUUUUUCAGUGUUCUCUGUGGGCUGACUACUGUCAUCAAGAGCCACUGGAUCAACUGAAAUCAGCAUGAACAGUGCUAUUCUGUGAGGAGUUUGAUCUUCUUGAGAUGGAGUAAUCAACAAUAUUCUGCAAAUGUUUACAGUAUUUCAGGCAAGAUAAUAUUAGACAAUCACAAAGCUAUAAUUUUUAGUGUGGAAAGAAGGUGGUGUUGUUUGCAGCCUCAUGUCGCAGGGAAGCCUGAUGUGAUGUAUUGCAGUGAGCAUCCCAGAGUUUGAGAUAAUUCUAGGAGAGAUCUAAACUUAAAAGAUUUACCCACUUUUUGCCUGCCCGGCUUCUCAGCUGACUGCACUUCUGGCAUUGGUGACUGGCAGAAAUGAAUUACUGCAACUCAGCCCCUACCCACUGAAAUACUGCAGCACAACGCUGAAGUGUGUAUGCAUGGAUGGUAAAAUGAAUUGAGAAACAGAGCAAGAAUGAAGUGGUUCAGCCUCAACUAGUGACUAGGAACUCAGCUGGCUGUUGGAUUUGGACAGUUCCAGUUCCUCUCCAUGGAGUUUUGAAUACCACAUCCCAUGUUAAUGGGUUCUUAACUUAAGCACUGCUUGGGAAAAUGAGGGUCUUUUUCUCUGCUUUCUGAAAGAAUGGCAGGGAGAAUCUGAUUCAGCAUUUGUCUGUAUGAAGGACUUACGGACUGGCCAUCCAGGCAGCACCUAGUCCAAACAUGUGCUGCUUCUUGCCCACCUGGCCAAGCACAUAGCAUUGGUCAGAAGAUGUGUAAGAAAUCUGGGGUUAUUGUAAAUGGGCACAGGUGAAACAGGAGGGAGCUGAGAAAUUGCCAAGCAGAAGAAGAGAUUAAUAGUACAGAAAUGGGUGUAGGAUAUUGUGGGCUUAUGGGGCAUAGAGGAGAAGCUGAAGGCUUGAAGGGGGAAGGGUUUGCAGAUGAGGAGAAGCCAUGAAGGGCAGCAGGUGGAACGAUGAGGACAAAAACUGUGAAAUUGCAUCAGAGGAAGGAAGAAACCAGAUUUCAUUUAUUGUUACCCUUGGACAAACUCUUUGAAAGUUUGGCGCCUGGUACAGAGGUUGGUAGGUGACAAAUUUUAUACCAAAGUAAAAUUAAAAAGU